rnacentral:rRNA from 1 species
UACGGAGGAUCCGAGCGUUAUCCGGAUUUAUUGGGUUUAAAGGGAGCGUAGGCGGGUUGUUAAGUCAGUUGUGAAAGUUUGCGGCUCAACCGCAAAAUUGCAGUUGAUACUGGCAUCCUUGAGUACAGUAGAGGUAGGCGGAAUUCGUGGUGUAGCGGUGAAAUGCUUAGAUAUCACGAAGAACUCCGAUUGCGAAGGCAGCCUGCUGGACUGUAACUGACGCUGAUGCUCGAAAGUGUGGGUAUCAAACAGG